rnacentral:rRNA from 1 species
AGAGUUUGAUCCUGGCUCAGGACGAACGCUGGCGGCGUGCCUAAUACAUGCAAGUUGAGCGCUGAAGGUUGGUACUUGUACCGACUGGAUGAGCAGCGAACGGGUGAGUAACGCGUGGGGAAUCUGCCUUUGAGCGGGGGACAACAUUUGGAAACGAAUGCUAAUACCGCAUAAAAACUUUAAACACAAGUUUUAAGUUUGAAAGAUGCAAUUGCAUCACUCAAAGAUGAUCCCGCGUUGUAUUAGCUAGUUGGUGAGGUAAAGGCUCACCAAGGCGAUGAUACAUAGCCGACCUGAGAGGGUGAUCGGCCACAUUGGGACUGAGACACGGCCCAAACUCCUACGGGAGGCAGCAGUAGGGAAUCUUCGGCAAUGGACGAAAGUCUGACCGAGCAACGCCGCGUGAGUGAAGAAGGUUUUCGGAUCGUAAAACUCUGUUGGUAGAGAAGAACGUUGGUGAGAGUGGAAAGCUCAUCAAGUGACGGUAACUACCCAGAAAGGGACGGCUAACUACGUGCCAGCAGCCGCGGUAAUACGUAGGUCCCGAGCGUUGUCCGGAUUUAUUGGGCGUAAAGCGAGCGCAGGUGGUUUAUUAAGUCUGGUGUAAAAGGCAGUGGCUCAACCAUUGUAUGCAUUGGAAACUGGUAGACUUGAGUGCAGGAGAGGAGAGUGGAAUUCCAUGUGUAGCGGUGAAAUGCGUAGAUAUAUGGAGGAACACCGGUGGCGAAAGCGGCUCUCUGGCCUGUAACUGACACUGAGGCUCGAAAGCGUGGGGAGCAAACAGGAUUAGAUACCCUGGUAGUCCACGCCGUAAACG